UUACCUACGGGGGGCAGCAGUGAGGAAUAUUGGUCAAUGGACGAGAGUCUGAACCAGCCAAGUAGCGUGAAGGGUGACUGCCCUAUGGGUUGUAAACUUCUUUUAUAUGGGAAUAAAGUUUUCCACGUGUGGAAUUUUGUAUGUACCAUAUGAAUAAGGAUCGGCUAACUCCGUGCCAGCAGCCGCGGUAAUACGGAGGAUCCGAGCGUUAUCCGGAUCUAUUGGGUUUAAAGGGAGCGUAGGGGGAUUGUUAAGUCAGUUGUGAAAGUUUGCGGCUCAACCGUAAAAUCGCAGUUGAAACUGGG
rnacentral:rRNA from 1 species